rnacentral:tRNA from 1 species
GGCCGCCUGGCGAAAUGGCAUCGCGUCUGACUACGAUCAUUUGAUUGUCAUCAGGAGAUUGCAGGUUCGACCCCUGCGGUGGUCA